rnacentral:tRNA from 1 species
GAAGGUAUAGCUCAGUGGUGGAGUGCAUGCCUAGCAUGCACAAGGUCCUGGGUUCAAUUACCAGUACCUCUG